UACGUAGGGUGCGAGCGUUGUCCGGAAUUACUGGGCGUAAAGAGCUCGUAGGUGGUUUGUCGCGUUGUUCGUGAAAACCGGGGGCUUAACCCUCGGCGUGCGGGCGAUACGGGCAGACUUGAGUACUGCAGGGGAGACUGGAAUUCCUGGUGUAGCGGUGGAAUGCGCAGAUAUCAGGAGGAACACCGGUGGCGAAGGCGGGUCUCUGGGCAGUAACUGACGCUGAGGAGCGAAAGCCAGGGUAGCGAACGGG
rnacentral:rRNA from 1 species